UAAAUAAUUCAAAAUAUUUUCUACCAAAAAUUUAUUUUAUUCAAACUUUUCUAUACUAUACAAUGAGCAGGUAAUCUAUCUAUUACUAUAUACUAAAGUAGAACCAUUUAUAAACCUUAUGUGAGAAGCUGACACGUGGUUUUCUAUAUGCUUACCACGUGUCAAGCUCAAAUAUAGAUUUCUACUUUAGGAAAAAUAAAAUUAAUUUUUUUAAGGAAAUAAUAUUUUUUACUAUAUAGAAAAUCAAUGUGUUAAGGAUUAAUGAGAUAUUUGAGAAAUUCACGGAUAUUACGUUGCGAAAGAAUUGGCGGGUGCGGAUAUUAUGUUGAGAUAUUUAAGAAAUUCUAAAAAUCACCUAUAAUGAAGGGGAUUUUAUUUCAAAGUCACCUAUAAUUAUAAUUAGAGUAUCAAUACUAAUAACUAUUAUUACUCUAUAUUUUUAUUAAUUAAGAAAUAAAAUUAAUAUAUUAUUAUUAACUUUUAUUAUACCAAUUAAAUAUAGUUGAGAUAUUUGAGAAAUUCACGGAUAUUAAAGAAUUGGCGGGUACGGAUAUUACACGUGAGAAGAAAAAUAUUUAUCUUUAUUUGGGAAUAAAUUAUUACUUAAUUAAUUAUUUGAAAUGAUUGGUUGAAAAUUACUUGACAUAAAAAUAUUAGUAAAAAAGGAUAGAGACAUUUUUGGAAAGAGGAAAAAAUUCAAAACUCACGCUUUUAUGAGUAGUAUAGAUAUAGAUAUUGCAUGUCAAGUNAAAUUACUUGACAUAAAAAUAUUAGUAAAAAAGGAUAGAGACAUUUUUGGAAAGAGGAAAAAAUUCAAAACUCACGCUUUUAUGAGUAGUAUAGAUAUAGAUAUUGCAUGUCACUUCCCUACUAUCACUUCUUCUGUAAUUUUCAUUUCGUAAUUUUUUUUUCCUACUGUCACUCUUAUAAUUUUUUUAGUUUUUAAAUGUUGAUACUUUAAAAUAGAACAUAUUAUUUUUAUUUUAUUAUUUAAAUACGAAGCAAGUAUUAAUUUUUUUUCUUGGAUGUCUUAUUGUUCUCAGGAUAUGGUACUUGGGUAUGAUUCUAUACGUAACAUCACUCCUCUUGGAGACAAAUGGAAUAUCAAAGUCAGAGUGAUUUGUCUGUAUACUAUACCUAAAUUUUAUCGUCCAGAGGUGGUGAAUAGCCUAGAGUUAGUUCUUUCUGAUCAAAAUGUAAGAUACGACUUUCAUUUUCAAAUUGAACAUACGUUUGUUUUAUUUUUACUAAAAGAUACUACAUAAUUUGUUUAUUUUCUAUUUUAGGGAGUUAGGAUACAUGCAACGGUAAGAAAAGCUUUCUUAAACAAAUUUAAAGGCCUUUUUACGGAAGGAUAAGUUUAUGAGAUCAACCAGUUUGGAAUGGGGCAGAGCAGCGGCUCCUACAAGACCACUAUACAUUCUUACAAAAUUAAUUUUCAGUAUUCUACAGUUAUACAUGAGAUGGAAGAUGUUUUGACAAUAUCAAAGUAUGAAUUUAUAUUUACCCCUUUUGAUGAAAUACUUGCUAAUGUCGCUGAUGACAAAUAUUUAGUACGUAAGAGUUGUUACAUGUAUCAAAUAUUUAAUUCUCGUAAUCAU
rnacentral:lncRNA from 1 species